rnacentral:rRNA from 1 species
AUUGAACGCUGGCGGCAGGCCUAACCCAUGCAAGUCGAGCGAGCGGCUGACAGGUGAGUAAUGUAUGGGGACUGCCCAAUAGAGGGGGAUAACUCCUGUAAACGUUGGCUAAUACCGCAUACUGUCGGAUCUCCCAUAUGGGAUUAGCUAGUAGUUAAGGUAAUGGCUUACCUAGGCGACGAUCCCUAGCUGGUCUGAGAGGAUGAUCAGCCACACUGGGACUGAGACACGGCCCAGACUCCGACGGAGGCAGCAGGGGGGAAUAUGGCACAAUGGGCGCAAGACUGAUGCAGCCAUGCCGCGUGUAUGAAGAAGGCCGUAGGGUUGUAAAGUACUUUCAGUCGGGAGGCGUUACCGACAGAAGAAGCACCGGCUAACUCCGUGCCAGCAGCCGCGGUAAUUC